UUUUCUGAGAGUUUGAUCCUGGCUCAGGAUUAACGCUGGCGGCAUGCCUAAUACAUGCAAGUCGAUCGGGG
rnacentral:rRNA from 1 species